rnacentral:rRNA from 1 species
CCUACGGGUGGCAGCAGUGAGGAAUAUUGGUCAAUGGGCGUAAGCCUGAACCAGCCAAGUCGCGUGAGGGAUGAAGGUUCUAUGGAUCGUAAAUCUCUUUUUUAAGGGAAUAAAGUGUGGGACGUGCCCUGUUUUGUAUGUACCCCAUGAAUAAGGCUCGGCUAACUCCGUGCCAGCAGCCGCGGUAAUACGGAGGAACUGAGCGUUAUCCGGAUUUAUUGGGUUUAAAGGGUGCGUAGGCGGCAUAUUAAGUUAGCGGUGAAAGUCUGUGGCUCAACCAUAGAAUUGCAGUUGAAACUGGGAGGCUAGAGUAUGUUGGAGGGAGGCGGAAUGCGUGGUGUAGCGGUGAAAUGCUUAGAUAUCAAGAAGAACACCGAUUGCGAAGGCGGCCUGCCAGGCCAUGACUGACGCUGAUGCACGAAAGCGUGGGGAUCAAACAGGAUUAGAUACCCGUGUAGUC